GAUGAACGCUGGCGGCGUGCCUAAUACAUGCAAGUCGAGCGAACAGACGAGGAGCUUGCUCCUCUGACGUUAGCGGCGGACGGGUGAGUAACACGUGGAUAACCUACCUAUAAGACUGGGAUAACUUCGGGAAACCGGAGCUAAUACCGGAUAAUAUAUUGAACCGCAUGGUUCAAUAGUGAAAGACGGUUUUGCUGUCACUUAUAGAUGGAUCCGCGCUGCAUUAGCUAGUUGGUAAGGUAACGGCUUACCAAGGCGACGAUGCGUAGCCGACCUGAGAGGGUGAUCAGCCACACUGGAACUGAGACACGGUCCAGACUCCUACGGGAGGCAGCAGUAGGGAAUCUUCCGCAAUGGGCGAAAGCCUGACGGAGCAACGCCGCGUGAGUGAUGAAGGUCUUCGGAUCGUAAAACUCUGUUAUUAGGGAAGAACAAAUGUGUAAGUAACUAUGCACGUCUUGACGGUACCUAAUCAGAAAGCCACGGCUAACUACGUG
rnacentral:rRNA from 1 species